GUUGAACGCUGGCGGCGUGCCUAAUACAUGCAAGUCGAGCGAACAGACGAGGAGCUUGCCCCUCUGACGUUAGCGGCGGACGGGUGAGUAACACGUGGAUAACCUACCUAUAAGACUGGGAUAACUUCGGGAAACCGGAGCUAAUACCGGAUAAUAUAUUGAACCGCAUGGUUCAAUAGUGAAAGACGGUUUUGCUGUCACUUAUAGAUGGAUCCGCGCCGCAUUAGCUAGUUGGUAAGGUAACGGCUUACCAAGGCAACGAUGCGUAGCCGACCUGAGAGGGUGAUCGGCCACACUGGAACUGAGACACGGUCCAGACUCCUACGGGAGGCAGCAGUAGGGAAUCUUCCGCAAUGGGCGAAAGCCUGACGGAGCAACGCCGCGUGAGUGAUGAAGGUCUUCGGAUCGUAAAACUCUGUUAUUAGGGAAGAACAAAUGUGUAAGUAACUAUGCACGUCUUGACGGUACCUAAUCAGAAAGCCACGGCUAACUACGUG
rnacentral:rRNA from 1 species